rnacentral:misc_RNA from 1 species
GGACGCGACACAAGGACAGCUUCAGGAAGAAGACCAAAAGGAUUAAGUUGCAGGACGCGACACAAGGACAGCUUCAGGAAGAAGACCAAAAGGAUUAAGUUGCAGGACGCGACACAAGGACAGCUUCAGGAAGAAGACCAAAAGGAUUAAGUUGCAGGACGCGACAUAAGGACAGCUUCAGGAAGAAGACCAAAAGGAUUAAGUUGCAGGACGCGACACAAGGACAGCUUCAGGAAGAAGACCAAAAGGAUUAAGUUGCAGGACGUGACACAAGGACAGCUUCAGGAAGAAGACCAAAGGAUUAAGUUGC